AUUGAACGCUGGCGGCAUGCCUUACACAUGCCAGUCGAACGGCAGCAUGAUCUAGCUUGCUAGAUUGAUGGCGAGUGGCGAACGGGUGAGUAAUACAUCGGAACGUGCCCUGUAGUGGGGGAUAACUAGUCGAAAGAUUAGCUAAUACCGCAUACGACCUGAGGGUGAAAGUGGGGGACCGCAAGGCCUCAUGCUAUAGGAGCGGCCGAUGUGUGAUUAGUUGGUUGGUGGGGUAAAGGCUCACCAAGGCGACGAUCAGUAGCUGAUCUGAGAGGACGAUCGGCCACACGAGGACUGAAACACGGCCCAGACUCCUAAGGGAGGCAGCAGUGGGGAAUGUUGGACAGUGGGCGAAAGCCUGAUCCAGCAAUGCCGCGUGUGUGAAGAAGGCGUUCGGGUUGUAAAGAACUUUUGUCCGGAAAGAAAUGGCUCUGGUUAAUACCUGGGGUCGAUGACGGUACCGGAUGAAUAAGCACCGGCUAACUACGUG
rnacentral:rRNA from 1 species